rnacentral:rRNA from 1 species
CACCCCCAUAUUAAACAAUUCUAUACCACUAUAGAAGCUUUCAUGUUAAAACUAGUAACAAGAAUAAAAAUUCUCCUUAUGCGAGCGUAAAUCAGAUAGGAUAAGCCACUGAUAAUUAACACCUUUGAGCCUACAGAGGCAACCUAACAAGAAAACCCCUCUUCGCCCUGUGUUAAUCUUACACAAGAGCAUAUCAGGAAAGAUUUAAAGAGCAAGAAGGAACUCGGCAAAAUUUAACCUCGCCUGUUUACCAAAAACAUCGCCUUUUGACUACCAAUAAAAGGUCCAGCCUGCCCAGUGACUUUGUUCAACGGCCGCGGUAUCCUAACCGUGCGAAGGUAGCGUAAUCACUUGUUCUUUAAAUGAGGACUAGUAUGAACGGCAUCACGAGGGUUAUACUGUCUCCUCCCUUUAAUCAGUGAAACUGAUCUUCCCGUGAAGAAGCGGGAAUAAAUCUAUAAGACGAGAAGACCCUAUGGAGCUUUAAACACACUACAAUUGCCUCACUCUAUGUUAAUCUCUGGAAAACCACUUAUCCGGGCAUUUUGAUAGCAAGUUUUAGGUUGGGGUGACCGCGGAGCAAAAAACAACCUCCACAGCGAACAGGACUUUCCCUUAAGCUCAGGAUUACAACCCUAAGAAUCAAUAAAUUGACACCCAUUGACCCAAUUUCUUGACCAACGGACCAAGUUACCCUAGGGAUAACAGCGCAAUCUACUUCAAGAGCUCCUAUCGACAAGUGGGUUUACGACCUCGAUGUUGGAUCAGGGUAUCCCAGUGGUGCAGCCGCUGCUAACGGUUCGUUUGUUCAACGAUU